UACGGAGGGUGCAAGCGUUGUCCGGAUUUAUUGGGGGUAAAGGGUGCGUAGGCGGCUUUUUAAGUCAGUGGUGAAAGACAACAGCUCAACUGUUGCAGUGCCAUUGAUACUGAAGAGCUUGAGUACAGAUGAGGUAGGCGGAAUUUAUGGUGUAGCGGUGAAAUGCAUAGAUACCAUAAAGAACACCUAUUGCGAAGGCAGCUUACUAAGCUGUAACUGACGCUGAGGCACGAAAGCCAGGGGAGCGAACGGG
rnacentral:rRNA from 1 species